rnacentral:rRNA from 1 species
UACGUAGGGUGCGAGCGUUUGUCCGGAAUUAUUGGGCGUAAAGGGCUCGUAGGCGGUUUGUCGCGUCGGGAGUGAAAACUCAGGGCUUAACCCUGAGCCUGCUUCCGAUACGGGCAGACUAGAGGUAUGCAGGGGAGAACGGAAUUCCUGGUGUAGCGGUGAAAUGCGCAGAUAUCAGGAGGAACACCGGUGGCGAAGGCGGUUCUCUGGGCAUUACCUGACGCUGAGGAGCGAAAGUGCGGGGAGCGAACAGG